rnacentral:rRNA from 1 species
UACGGGGGGAGCAAGCGUUGUUCGGAUUUACUGGGCGUAAAGGGCGCGUAGGCGGCCAGCACAAGUCAGUUGUGAAAUCUCCGAGCUUAACUCGGAAAGGUCAACUGAUACUGUGCGGCUAGAGUGCAGAAGGGGCAACUGGAAUUCUUGGUGUAGCGGUGAAAUGCGUAGAUAUCAAGAGGAACACCUGGCGGCGAAGGCGACUUCCUGGCCUGUUCUUGACGCUGGAGGCGACGGAAAGCUAGGGGAGCAAACGGG